AGGACCUCCUGCUUUCAUAGUAGGGUUUAACAAAGCAGCCACACCAAAAAUAGGAGGGAUUGGAAAAAAAUAUUUUUUAAAUUUCUUUUUCAUUUCAAUUAUUGCAUUUUCAUAAAUUUCCCCUCCCUCGUUAAAAUCAACAAAUAAAUUAGCAAGUGCGGCAAUAUAUACUAAACAGUUUGAAACAGUUGGAUAAUAUUGGCCAGAUAAAGCAGUUGUAGCCACAU
rnacentral:lncRNA from 1 species